GCGAUCUCCCCCUAUAAAAAGAAGAGCCAAAUUCAAGCACCCCGUAACUACCAUAUUAACCGGCAAUACAUAGCGAUUGGGGGUUGGUCGCGGGCAUCGCCCUUGCUGACGCGCACUUAAUUUGGGCAUGAGUGGAGUGGUCGUGUUGCUUCACCUCCUCUCUCCUGGGUUUCAAGGUGACAUGCAUUUAAUAUGGGCACAGAAGUAUGGAUGUGCCCUAAAAGUUGCGCACAUGACCCGCAGUCAAGGUGGCGCCUCACAUUCUCGAUCAGUGCAUGCGGGAUUACUCCCUUCACCCGACACCCAAAGAUAGAGGAGCAUAUGUUGGGAAGGGAUAUUGCACCUGGAUUGAAGCAUGUCCAUGUCAAUGUCACAUCCCGAUGAAGGCCACAAUACUGAUCUCUGCCUCAGCCACUGACCUCGAUUUCCUACCAACCC
rnacentral:lncRNA from 1 species